rnacentral:tRNA from 1 species
GCCUCCGUGGGGUAGUGGAUAUCCUAGCGGCCUCCGGAGCCGCGGACCCGGGUUCGAAUCCCGGCGGGGGCU